GAUGAAGAACGUAGCGAAAUGCGAUAAGUAGUGUGAAUUGCAGAAUUCAGUGAAUCAUCGAAUCUUUGAACGCACAUUGCGCCCCUUGGUAUUCCAUGGGGCAUGCCUGUUCGAGCGUCAUUUGUACCUUCAAGCUGUGCUUGGUGUUGGGUGUUUGUCUCGCCUCUGCGUGUAGACUCGCCUUAAAACAAUUGGCAGCCGGCGUAUUGAUUUCGGAGCGCAGUACAUCUCGCGCUUUGCACUCAUAACGACGACGUCCAAAAGUACAUUUUUACACUCUUGACCUCGGAUCAGGUAGGGAUACCCGCUGAACUUAAGCAUAUCAUAAGCGGAGGA
rnacentral:misc_RNA from 1 species